AGAGUUUGAUCCUGGCUCAGAACGAACGCUGGCGGCAUGGAUUAGGCAUGCAAGUCGAACGCCUGUAUUUAUACAGGAGUGGCGAAAGGGUGAGUAACGAGUGAGUAACGUGCCCUAAGGCUGGGGAUAACUUCUGGAAACGGAAGCUAACACCGAAUGUGGAUAUAUUUUCGCAUGUGAAUAUAUCUAAAAAUUUAUUGCCUUAGGAUCGGCUCGCUUUCCAUUAGCUAGUUGGUGAGGUAACUGCUCACCAAGGCUACGAUGGAUAGGUGGUCUGAGAGGAUGGUCACCCACACUGGGACUGAGAUACUGCCCAGACUCCUACGGGAGGCUGCAGUCGAGAAUCUUCCGCAAUGCGCGAAAGCGUGACGGAGCAAUGCCGCGUGCCGGAUGAAGGUCUUCGGAUUGUAAACGGCUGUCACUGGGAACGAAACAAAUGACGGUACCCAGAGAGGAAGCCACGGCUAACUACGUGCCAGCAGCCGCGGUAAUACGUAGGUGGCGAGCGUUGUUCGGAAUUAUUGGGCGUAAAGGGUCCGCAGGUGGCUUGUUAAGUCUGACGUGAAAUCUCACCGCUCAACGGUGAAACUGCGUUGGAAACUAGCGAGCUAGAGUAUUGGAGAGGUAAUUGGAAUUCCGGGUGUAGCGGUGGAAUGCGUAGAUAUCCGGAGGAACACCAAGAGCGUAGGCAGAUUACUGGACAAUAACUGACACUCAGGGACGAAAGCAUGGGGAGCAAACAGGAUUAGAUACCCUGGUAGUCCAUGCCGUAAACGGUGCAAACUAGAUGUUGCGAGACUUUAACCUCGCGGUGUCCAAGCUAACGCGUUAAGUUUGCCGCUGGGAACUACGGCCGCAAGGCUAAAACUCAAAGGAAUUGACGGGGGCCCGCACAAGCGGUGGAGCAUGUGGCUUAAUUCGAGGCAACGCGAAGAACCUUACCUAGAUUUGACAUAUAUGGGACCGUCUAUGAAAGUAGACUUCUCUUCGGAGCCCAUAAACAGGUGCUGCAUGGCUGUCGUCAGCUCGUGCUGUGAAGUGUUCGGUUAAGUCCGGCAACGAGCGCAACCCACGUGACUAUUUGCCAACAGGUAAUGCUGGGAACUCUAGUCAGACUGCCCGUGUUAAACGGGAGGAAGGCGUGGAUGACGUCAAGUCAGUAUGGCCUUUAUAUCUAGGGCUGCACACGUGCUACAAUGGCCAGUACAAUGGGACGCAAUACUGUAAAGUGGAGCAAAUCCUCAAAACUGGUCUUAGUUCGGAUUGAGGUCUGCAACUCGACCUCAUGAAGCCGGAAUCGCUAGUAAAGGCGUAUCAGCUACGACGCCUUGAAUACGUUCCCGGGCCUUGUACACACCGCCCGUCACAUCAUGCGAGCUGACUGCACCCGAAGCCGUUCACCCAACCAUUUAUGGAGGGAGACGUCUAAGUUCGGAUGGUGACUAGGAUGAAGUCGUAACAAGGUA
rnacentral:rRNA from 1 species